AAUCUUUUAACGUACAUUUAUAAAUCAUUCAAAAAAGUCGUUUAACCCUCAUCACCAGGGUCACAGGGGCGAAGCUAGGGGGGCUUGCAUGGGCUCCGGCCCCCCUAAAAUAUAAAUUUACUCUUUUGAUCCUUAAAAUUUUUUAAAAAUUUUAAAUUAGUAAAGGUAAAAUUGCACUUUGGCCCCCCUAAAAUUGUAAAAAUUCGAUUUAAUCCUUUACAAAUUAUAAAAAUAUAAACUAUAAAAAAUUAAAAAUUUAUCCGACUCCCCUAAAUAUUUAUUCUAGCUUUGCCCCUACAGGGUCAUGCUUUCAGUUCAAGCCAUGGCGUCGACUACUACAGCUAUUAUUAUUAUUAUUAUUAUUAUUAAUUCAUUUUAAGUUUGAUAAUUUUAAUUAAAUGUUUGUAAAUACUUCUCUGAAUGUGUGUGCAUGUCUUUUUUUUUUAACAUUUAAUGUUGGUUAAAAUAUGUCUUAUUAUAUUUUUAGUAAAUUUAAAAUUUAAUAUAUGUAUUUUUAUUUAUAGAAAUUUAAUUACUCUAUUUUUUAAUUUUAAAA
rnacentral:lncRNA from 1 species